CCUACGGGUGGCAGCAGUGAGGAAUAUUGGUCAAUGGACGAGAGUCUGAACCAGCCAAGUAGCGUGAAGGAUGACUGCCCUAUGGGUUGUAAACUUCUUUUAUAAAGGAAUAAAACGAGGCACGUGUGCCUUUUUGCAUGUACUUUAUGAAUAAGGAUCGGCUAACUCCGUGCCAGCAGCCGCGGUAAUACGGAGGAUCCGAGCGUUAUCCGGAUUUAUUGGGUUUAAAGGGAGCGUAGAUGGGUUGUUAAGUCAGUUGCGAAAGUUUGCGGCUCAACCGUAAAAUUGCAAUUGAUACUGGCAGUCUUGAGUACAGUUGAGGUAGGCGGAAUUCGUGGUGUAGCGGUGAAAUGCUUAGAUAUCACGAAGAACCCCGAUUACGAAGGCAGCUUACUAAACUGUGACUGACAUUGAUGCUCGAAAGUGUGGGUAUCAAACAGGAUUAGAUACCCCUGUAGUC
rnacentral:rRNA from 1 species